GCCAUGGAUGAACUAGCAUGCGAGUCAUUGUAGCAAUACAAGGCAGACGGCUCAGUAACGCGUAGUCAAUCUACCCUAUGGACGGGAAUAACCUCGGGAAACUGAGAAUAAUACCCGAUAGAACAUUAUGCCUGGAAUGGCUUAUGUUUCAAAUGAUUUAUCGCCGUAGGAUGGGACUGCGGCCUAUCAGUUUGUUGGUGAGGUAAUGGCCCACCAAGACUAUUACAGGUACGGGCUCUGAGGGGAGUAGCCCGGAGAUGGGUACUGAGACACGGACCCAGGCCCUAUGGGGCGCAGCAGGCGAGAAAACUUUGCAAUGUGCGAAAGCACGACAAGGUUAAUCCGAGUGGUUUCUGCUAAAGAAACCUUUUGCUAGUCCUAGAAACACUAGUGAAUAAGGGGUGGGCAAGUUCUGGUGUCAGCCGCCGCGGUAAAACCAGCACCUCAAGUGGUCAGGAUGAUUAUUGGGCCUAAAGCAUCCGUAGCUCGUUUUGUAAGUUUUCGGUUAAAUCCAUACGCUUAACGUAUGGGCUGCCGGGAAUACUGCAUAACUAGGAAGUGGGAGAGGUAGACGGUACUCGGUAGGAAGGGGUAAAAUCCUUUGAUCUAUUGAUGACCACCUGUGGCGAAGGCGGUCUACCAGAACACGUUCGACGGUGAGGGAUGAAAGCUGGGGGAGCAAACCGGAUUAGAUACCCGGGUAGUCCCAGCUGUAAACUAUGCAAACUCAGUGAUGCAUUGGCUUGAUGCCAAUGCAGUGCUGCAGGGAAGCCGUUAAGUUUGCCGCCUGGGAAGUACGUACGCAAGUAUGAAACUUAAAAGGAAUUGGCGGGGGAGCACCACAAGGGGUGAAGCCUGCGGUUCAAUUGGAGUCAACGCCGGG
rnacentral:rRNA from 1 species